AUUGAACGCUGGCGGAAUGCUUUACACAUGCAAGUCGAACGGUAGAGGGGGCAACCCCUCGAGAGUGGCGAGCGGGUGAGUAAUAUAUCGGAACGUGCCCAGUCGUGGGGGAUAACGUAGCGAAAGUUACGCUAAUACCGCAUACGAUCUAGGGAUGAAAGCGGGGAAUCGCAAGACCUCGCGCGAUUGGAGCGGCCGAUAUCAGAUUAGGUAGUUGGUGGGGUAAAGGCUCACCAAGCAAACGAUCUGUAGCUGGUCUGAGAGGACGACCAGCCACACUGGAACUGAGACACGGUCCAGACUCCUACGGGAGGCAGCAGUGGGGAAUUUUGGACAAUGGACGCAAGUCUGAUCCAGCCAUUCCGCGUGCAGGAAGAAGGCCCUCGGGUUGUAAACUGCUUUUGUACGGAACGAAAAGGUCUCUCUUAAUACGGGGGACUCAUGACGGUACCGUAAGAAUAAGCACCGGCUAACUACGUGCCAGCCGCCGCAGUAA
rnacentral:rRNA from 1 species